rnacentral:lncRNA from 1 species
GUUUAGAGAGCUGCCCAAUUGAAUCUGGAAUAGUCCCACUUAACUUAUUGUUGUUUACAUACAAAGAUGUUAAAGCAGCAAAUCUCCCGAUGGAUUCUGGAAUUGAACCGCUCAAGCCAUUACCAGAAAGGUAAAGUUCCGUAAGUUUCCCAAGGAAUGUCGGGAUGGGACCCAUUAAGUCGUUAUAAGAUAGAUCUAACACUUGUAACAUUUUUAAUUUUGUCAGAGAUUCUAGAAUUGAACUUGUUAACUAAGAUUAUGAAGAAUAUGAGAUAGAUGCGUCUCAUUGAGGUGACAAUUUGACAAGUGGAGCUCUAAUAAAGAAGGAAUCAUGCUUAGCAAGUUUGCAAAGUUGGAUGCAGCAAGAGGAAAGGAUGAAAGAUCCAGGAAUUGUAGGGAUGUCAUGUUUUGAAAAAAGUGGGGGAGUUUACCUGUGAAAAUAUUAUCACUAAGAUCUAGGUGUUUGACGUUGGAAAGUGUAGUGCUCAGAUUACGAAGCGGACCACUAUCAUCGAUUAAAAGACCACAAUGUGACAAACUUAACACUUUUACUGAUGGAGCCAUGUAAAGCACCACAUCAAGGACUUUUAAUCUAAUAAGUUUCACAGAACUCAAGUCAAUAUGCUCAAGUGACGAAAGGCCAGAAAUCCAAUCCAUAUCAUGUGAGAUCAGAAGAUUAUCAUUAUAACUGAGAUCAAGACUUUUUAAAUUAGACAAAUUUCCAAUGUGACGAGGAAUAUUUCCCGAAAACUCUGCUUUAGAAAGAUCGAGAUAAGUUAGUUGUUUCAAGGAUCCAAUGAAGUCAGGGAUCUGACUUCCUUGAAAAUCAUUCCGACUCAAGUUCAAGUAUUUAAGAUGCCUCAACUCUCCUAAAGAAGUGCUCAACUCUGUAC